rnacentral:lncRNA from 1 species
AGCACCAAUCAAGUUUUUAGACAUCCAAGUACCGUCAUUAGUCAAGACAUACCCCAUAUUGUUAAGUGUCAUAGUGUCUAUUUCCAUUGCCUUUGAUUACAAAUUCUUUUCCGUAUUGGUGAGAAGGAUAUCAAAAUACUCAAAAAUAGUAGUUAAACAUUAAUCAUAUGGUAGAGAUUUUUGUUUCAGAUUGUUGUUACCUAUUUUGGGCCCUCACAUAACAAAAAAAAUCAAAAAAAGAAAAUACAAAAAAAAAUGUUCGAAGAAAAUAAAAAAA